ACGGACUCCUACGGGAGGCAGCAGUGAGGAAUAUUGCACAAUGGAGGGAACUCUGAUGCAGCCAUGCCGCGUGUGUGAAGAAGGCCUUCGGGUUGUAAAGCACUUUAGUUUUCGAGAAAGGGUGCAAUUCGAACAGGGUUGUAUUCAGAUGUUAGAAAAAGAAUAAGUACCGGCAAACUCCGUGCCAGCAGCCGCGGUAAU
rnacentral:rRNA from 3 species